CUACGGGAGGCAGCAGUGGGGAAUUUUGGACAAUGGGGGCAAGUCUGAUCCAGCAAUGCCGCGUGCAGGACGAAGGCCUUCGGGUUGUAAACUGCUUUUGUACAGAACGAAAGGGCUCUGGUUAAUACCUGGGGCAGAUGACGGUACUGUAAGAAUAAGCACCGGCUAACUACGUGCCAGCAGCCGCGGUAAUACGUAGGGUGCGAGCGUUAAUCGGAAUUACUGGGCGUAAAGCGUGCGCAGGCGGUUUUGUAAGACCGAUGUGAAAUCCCCGGGCUCAACCUGGGAACUGCAUUGGUGACUGCAAGGCUGGAGUGCGGCAGAGGGGGAUGGAAUUCCGCGUGUAGCAGUGAAAUGCGUAGAUAUGCGGAGGAACACCGAUGGCGAAGGCAAUCCCCUGGGCCUGCACUGACGCUCAUGCACGAAAGCGUGGGGAGCAAACAGGAUUAGAUACCCGAGUAGUCC
rnacentral:rRNA from 1 species